GCGUCACCACACACCUCCCCUGAUUUUUGAGACUGUUUUAUAAUGCCAGAUUAGCUCGUUUUUAUUUAUUUAUAAAAACGUGCCAUGCAUAAUGCUAAGUUAAUAAAUAGGUGUAAGAAAUUCACACAUGGACACGAAAGCUUCAUUUUUUUCAUGGAUUGUUUGACUAAAAGUUGACAAGCAAGCUUGCUUAGUUUAGUUGUUAUAUUCUGGAAGGAAAAGUUGUUAAACUUUAAUUCAUUUCACUAUAGCUUCUGUUUGUGGUAUGUAGGGCGCAGGCGGGGCCGUUCAUGCUAUCAUUUUGCUUGACAUAUUCCUCUUCCCGACUCGGGGGUUGUUCCUGGGGAUCUUUCUAAUUGGGAAAGAUAUCUGGAGGAUAAUACUGGGAGACGAACAAAUCUCAGGGGCUACACAAUUGGGAGGUGCUGCAGUUGCAGCCUUGGCCUGGUCACAACUUCGAAAGGGGCGAUUCUGAAUUUCGUAACGGCGGAUUACAUACAGAACACUUUAAAACUAAGAUGGUCCCGUUCCCCAAAUAUUGCUUGUAUUUUAUUUUAUUUUUAAAGAUAGUCCAGCAUGGUAACUAUUAGUCAGUGCGUUGCAGCUAGUUUUCUCCUGAUUUAAACUCCCAGAUCAUCCCUUAUCUCGGACCCCCGUUUACAUUGGAUGCCCACCUCAAAUUUUCACAGCUGUUUGUUGUUCUGAUCAAACAAUAUUACAGAAGUGAAAAAUAUUUAUAAA